rnacentral:rRNA from 1 species
ACGGCUCAGUAACACGUGGCUAACCUACCCUCGAGCCCGUAAUAUCGUCGGGAAACUGACGUUAAUGACGGAUAAAUGAUUUUUUCUGGAAUGAUUAAUCGUUGAAAUUUAGCGCAAGGAUGGGGCUGCGGCUGAUUAGGUAGUUGGCGGGGUAACUGCCCACCAAGCCAUUGAUCAGUAAGGGCUCUUAGCGGAGAAGCCCUGAGAGGGAAUCUGAGACACUAUUCCCAGCCCUACGGGGUGCAGCAGUCGGGAAAAUUCUGCAAUGUACGAAAGUAUGACAGAGCAAGCCAAAGUGCUUUUCUUUUAGAAAAGCUUUUGUGUGCUGUAAAAAGGCACUCGAAUAAGGACCGGGAGAGACUGGUGCCAGCCGCCGCGGUAAUCCCAGCGGUCCAAGUCGCAGCCACAUUUGUUGGGUCUAAAACAUCCGUAGCUUGCCUUACAAGUCUUUUGUGAAAUCGGGACUCUUAAGGUUCCGUCGGGCAAAAGAUACUGUUUGGCUAGAGACCGGGAGAUGUAAAGAGUACAGAUAGGGUAGUGGUUAAAUACGUUGAUCCUUUCUGGACUAACGAUAGCGAAGGCACUUUACAAGCACGGAUCUGACAGUGAGGGAUGAAGGCUAGGGGCGCAAAGUGGAUUAGAUACCCAUGUAGUCCUAGCAGUAAACACUGCACACUAAACAUUAGUGCCUCUUCGAGAGGCAUUAGUGCUGUAGGGAAGCCGGAGAGUGUGCUACCUGGGAAGUAUAGACGCAAGUCCGAAACUUAAAGGAAUUGGCGGGGGAGCAC